rnacentral:misc_RNA from 1 species
UGUGGGAGCUGGCUUGCCUGCGAUAGCGGUGGGUCAGUUAAUGCAUUUGCCUACUGAUACACCGCUAUCGCAGGCAAGCCAGCUCCCACA